rnacentral:rRNA from 1 species
UACGUAGGGUGCAAGCGUUGUCCGGAAUUAUUGGGCGUAAAGAGCGUGUAGGCGGCCCGAUUAGUCCGCUGUGAAAGCCCGGGGCUCAACCCCGGGAGGCGGGCGGAAACUGUCGGGCUAGAGUCCGGAAGAGGCGAGUGGAAUUCCCAGUGUAGCGGUGAAAUGCGCAGAUAUCGGGAGGAACACCAAUGGCGAAGGCAGCUCGCUGGGACGUGACUGACGCUGAGACGCGAAAGCGUGGGGAGCAAACAGG